rnacentral:rRNA from 1 species
GAUGAACGCUGGCGGCGUGCCUAAUACAUGCAAGUCGAACGGAGAUAUUGUAGCAAUACGGUAUCUUAGUGGCGAACGGGUGAGUAACGCGUUGGUGACCUGCCCCGAAGAGGGGGAUAACAGUUCGAAAGGAUUGCUAAUACCCCAUACGGUUACGAGGAUUAGAAGCUUGUAACCAAAGGCGAAAGUCGCUUCGGGAGGGGCCUGCGUCCCAUCAGCUAGUUGGUAAGGUAACGGCUUACCAAGGCGACGACGGGUAGGGGACCUGAGAGGGUGGCCCCCCACAAUGGAACUGAAACACGGUCCAUACACCUACGGGUGGCAGCAGUAGGGAAUAUUAGUUAAUGUGCGAAAGCGCGAACUAGCAACGCCGCGUGUGCGAUGAAGGCCUUCGGGUCGU